GGGUUGUGAGGUUAAGCGACUAAGCGUACACGGUGGAUGCCCUGGCAGUCAGAGGCGAUGAAGGGCGUGCUAAUCUGCGAUAAGCGCCGGUAAGGUGAUAUGAACCGUUAUAACCGGCGAUACCCGAAUGGGGAAACCCAGUGUGAUUCGUCACACUAUCAUUAACUGAAUCCAUAGGUUAAUGAGGCGAACCGGGGGAACUGAAACAUCUAAGUACCCCGAGGAAAAGAAAUCAACCGAGAUUCCCCCAGUAGCGGCGAGCGAACGGGGAGGAGCCCAGAGCCUGAAUCAGCAUGUGUGUUAGUGGAAGCGUCUGGAAAGGCGCGCGAUACAGGGUGACAGCCCCGUACACAAAAGCGCAUGUGCUGUGAGCUCGAUGAGUAGGGCGGGACACGUGGUAUCCUGUCUGAAUAUGGGGGGACCAUCCUCCAAGGCUAAAUACUCCUGACUGACCGAUAGUGAACCAGUACCGUGAGGGAAAGGCGAAAAGAACCCCGGCGAGGGGAGUGAAAAAGAACCUGAAACCGUGUACGUACAAGCAGUGGGAGCACCCUUUGGGGUGUGACUGCGUACCUUUUGUAUAAUGGGUCAGCGACUUAUAUUCUGUAGCAAGGUUAACCGUAUAGGGGAGCCGUAGGGAAACCGAGUCUUAACCGGGCGUUAAGUUGCAGGGUAUAGACCCGAAACCCGGUGAUCUAGCCAUGGGCAGGUUGAAGGUUGGGUAACACUAACUGGAGGACCGAACCGACUAAUGUUGAAAAAUUAGCGGAUGACCUGUGGCUGGGGGUGAAAGGCCAAUCAAACCGGGAGAUAGCUGGUUCUCCCCGAAAGCUAUUUAGGUAGCGCCUCGUGAAUUCAUCUCCGGGGGUAGAGCACUGUUUCGGCUAGGGGGCCAUCCCGGCUUACCAACCCGAUGCAAACUGCGAAUACCGGAGAAUGUUAUCACGGGAGACACACGGCGGGUGCUAACGUCCGUCGUGAAGAGGGAAACAACCCAGACCGCCAGCUAAGGUCCCAAAGUCAUGGUUAAGUGGGAAACGAUGUGGGAAGGCCCAGACAGCCAGGAUGUUGGCUUAGAAGCAGCCAUCAUUUAAAGAAAGCGUAAUAGCUCACUGGUCGAGUCGGCCUGCGCGGAAGAUGUAACGGGGCUAAACCAUGCACCGAAGCUGCGGCAGCGACACUGUGUGUUGUUGGGUAGGGGAGCGUUCUGUAAGCCUGUGAAGGUGGCCUGUGAGGGUUGCU
rnacentral:rRNA from 1 species